rnacentral:rRNA from 1 species
UCCGGUUGAUCCUGCCGGACCCGACUGCUAUUUGGGUGAGAAUAAGCCAUGCGAGUCGAAUGGGAUACCUAAAUUUCCCAUGGCAAACUGCUCAUUAACACAUGAUCAACUUACCCUAUAGAGAAAAAUAACCUCGGGAAACUGAGGAUAAUAUUUCGUAGUUGAAUAGGCUUGGAAAAGUUUUUCAAUAAAAGGGAUAAAAAAAAUGGUUUUUAUCUGCUAUAGGAUAGGAUCGUGGACGAUUAUGGUUGUUGGUGAGGUAACGGCUCACCAAGCCGAUAGUCGAUAGGGGCCGUGAGAGCGGGAGCCCCGAGAUGGGUACUGAGACAACGACCCAGGCCUUACGAGGCGCAGCAGGCGCGGAACCUCCGCAAUACACGAAAGUGUGACGGGGUUACCCAAAGUGUUCAAUUCUGAACUGUGGUAGGUGAGUAAUGUUCCCUACUAGGAAGGAGAGGGCAAGGCUGGUGCCAGCCGCCGCGGUAAAACCAGCUCUUCAAGUGGUCGGGAUAAUUAUUGGGCUUAAAGUGUCCGUAGCCGGUUUAGUAAGUUCCUGGUAAAAUCGGGUAGCUUAACUAUCCGUAUGCUAGGAAUACUGCUAUACUAGAGGGCGGGAGAGGUCUGAGGUACUACAGGGGUAGGGGUGAAAUCUUAUAAUCCUUGUAGGACCACCAGUGGCGAAGGCGUCAGACUGGAACGCGCCUGACGGUGAGGGACGAAAGCCAGGGGAGCAAACCGGAUUAGAUACCCACGUAGUCC